CAAUAGCGUAUAUUAAAGUUGUUGCAGUUAGAACGCUCGUAGUCGGAUUUCGGGGCGGGGCGACCGGUCUGCCGAUGGGUAUGCACUGGUCGGCGCGUCCUUCCUUCCGGAGACCGUUCCUACUCUUAACUGAGCGGGGGCGGGAGACGGAUCGUUUACUUUGAAAAAAUCAGAGUGUUUCAAGCAGGCAGCUCGCUCUUGCAUGGAUUAGCAUGGGAUAAUGAAAUAGGACUUUGGUGCUAUUUUGUUGGUUUCGAACAUCGAAGUAAUGAUUAAAAGGGACAGUCAGGGGCACUCGUAUUCCGCCGAGAGAGGUGAAAUUCUCAGACCAGCGGAAGACGAACCACUGCGAAAGCAUUUGCCAGGGAUGUUUNCACUGA
rnacentral:rRNA from 1 species